rnacentral:rRNA from 1 species
GAGUAGUAUUAGUUAUAAUCUUGAAACUUAAGGAAUUUGGCGGUAUUUUAUCUUAUUAGAGGAACCUGUUUUUUAAUUGAUAUUCCACGACUAAAUUUACUUUUUUUAUUUAACUUGUAUACCGCUGUCAUGAAUAUAUAGAAAUAUUAUUUUCUACUUUAUAAGUUUUAUGUUAGGUCAAGGUGCAGUUUGUUAAGUUUAAUGGGUUACUAUGAAAGAAUGAAUGAAAAAGGAUUUAAAAGUAAGUUAAUCAGAUAUUUAUGAAUAAGAUUCUGAAAUAUG